AACGCACAUUGCGCCCAUUAGUAUUCUAGUGGGCAUGCCUGUUCGAGCGUCAUUUCAACCCUUAAGCCCCUGUUGCUUAGCGUUGGGAGCCUACGGCAGCGUAGCUCCCCAAAGUUAGUGGCGUGGUCGGUUCACACUCCAGACGUAGUAGAUUUUCGUCUCGCCUGUAGUUGGACCGGUCCCCUGCCGUAAAACACCCCAAUUCUAAAAGGUUGACCUCGGAUCAGGUAGGAAUACCCGCUGAACUUAA
rnacentral:misc_RNA from 1 species